rnacentral:rRNA from 1 species
AGAUUGAACGCUGGCGGCAUGCUUUACACAUGCAAGUCGAACGGCAGCGCGGGGCAACCUGGCGGCGAGUGGCGAACGGGUGAGUAAUAUAUCGGAACGUACCCAAGAGUGGGGGAUAACGUAGCGAAAGUUACGCUAAUACCGCAUACGAUCUAAGGAUGAAAGCAGGGGACCGCAAGGCCUUGUGCUCCUGGAGCGGCCGAUAUCUGAUUAGCUAGUUGGUAGGUAAGGCCUACCAAGGCUACGAUCAGUAGCUGGUCUGAGAGGACGACCAGCCACACUGGAACUGAGACACGGUCCAGACUCCUACGGGAGGCAGCAGUGGGAAUUUUGGACAAUGGGCGCAAGCCUGAUCAGCAAUGCGCGUGAGUGAAGAGGCCUUGGUACGUAAGCGUU